GUCCUGCAUUUUUUUUAGCUGUAAUCUCUGUCCUGCCUUUUUAUUUUUCACUCUAAUCGGUCCUGCCUUCUUUUUUUUUUAGUUUAUCCUGACUUUUUUUUGCCUAAAUUGUCGUCCUGACUUUUUUUUUUUAGCAAGUGUCACAUCCUGACUUUUUUUUUUUACUCAAAACUCCUGUCCUGCCUAUUUUUUUUCAAAUUUCAUCCUAGCCCCCCC
rnacentral:lncRNA from 1 species